UUUCAGUAUUUACUGUUUAGACCUGUUAUUUCCACAAUUUUUUUCACAACUAGGAAAACAUGCCUUACACGUUACACUACUGCUAGUAUGUCUGUAUAUAUAUAUAUAUAUGGUAACCUUGUAUGUGAUGCUAGAUAUAUAUGUAUAGUAACCUUGUAUGUGAUGCUACGCUGGAGGCAAAAAGGUAAUGCUAGAUAUGGACUUUCAUUUCUUCCCUUUGGCUUUAUAGAGAUGAUGUCUAUUAAAAUGUGGCCUGAAUUGUUUUUGAAUGUCUUUGUCAUUUCAGUAUCAGCUGCAAUGUCUUAAUCCAAUUAUUAUUUGGCAGCACUUCUUUUGCAUCUUUUCUGUCCCGGAUAAGCUUUCAAGCUCAUAAAUGAUGGAUGGUUGAAUCAUAGUAAUGGUUGAAUGAUAACUUCGUUUAUUAUGGUGACUAACAUGAGUUUUUAAUUUUUUUUUCUGCAUCAGCUGCUGCCUCAUUUCUCCGACGAGCAUGCAUUUUUAAGUUCGGAAGAAAUUUCCAUAACAAAGAUGACUUCACACUGCCUUCACAAUGCCUUCACCUGAUUUUAACAAUGAGGUUUUACAAACAGGUCUAGACAUCAGAAGUUGCUUUAUGAAGUUUUUUUAGCAUCUUAUACGUACAAGGGAGGGUUUGAGGAUCAUCUAUAUUAGUUGAAUGUGGUGAUCCUUAAAGAGUUGAGCGUAGAUGCAGUGUCGAUUGACAGUAUUUUCGCUUUUCUUUUUUUAGAUUUCUCGCUAUCUCUCUCACUUUAUCUUCCAUUUUCCAAAUUUCAUACUCGUGCUGUAAUAUAUCAUCCCAUGUCUUCUAAGCCUUAUUCUCUCUUAUACGAAUGUUCUCUUCUAACAAAUAAAAUAUAUCUGCACAUAUAAAAAAUUCACACCUUGCA